CAUUAGAAUGUUCAUUGCUGAUGUCAAUGUUAACAAUGACAUCAGCAGUGAUGACAUCACUCUUUGAUGCAUAAAAUGUAGCACACAGACUGUUUUUUCAAACCUCUUCCUGUUUCAGACUUAGAAGUUAUAAGUUAUGAAUUGUUAAAAUGAUUUGAAGACACAGAAUCAACCCAGUUCAGAUUCACAUUCUCAGGUUAGAGAGACUCGCCUGACUACCCUAACCACCAUCAUCAAAGUAACAUUGGUUUCCCUCAAUGUCACUCUGUGGAUGGCUUUGGCUGCUCAACAAUAAUACUAAGUUGGGUGAAUCACAGCAAACGUAAGUCAUCAUACAGUAACUGUAUAUACAGUUCAGAUGCAGCUUAUGGAAAUCCUCAGUGAAGAGGUUUCAGACAGAUGCUUACCCAUCCCAAAACUAACCUUUUCCUGAACCUCCUGUUUCUCCUUGAGGGCCUCCUCCAGCUGAGACUGCAAGUCAUUCAUUUGAGCCAAGUUCUGAGCCAACUGAAACACAACGCAGAGGACAGAUCACAACAGUCAGCAAAUGAAGUUCUUUCUGCCUAGAAGUCAUUAUCCGACUACUUCUCCUGACAAGGAGCACCUGGGACACAGCAGCCUUGUGUUUCUUCAUCAGCUCG